UCCUAGCCGCCACAUUUUCCACGGAGGGAUCCGAUCCCAACGGCUCUUAGUGAUCGGAAACAUUGUAUCUAUGGCGACAUCGAAGCCCACGUCUCCUUUCCCACCAUGCUCCGGGGAAUCUACUGCUACCACUAACCAUGGAUAGGACGACGUCGGUGGCCGAAGGCAGGAGCCCCCAAUCACCGACAUGAUGGAGGAGGAGAGUCGACGCAAGACGCGACAGCGCUGGCUAACACGGCAAUCAGCUUAGGACGGGAAGGUCGCACAUGCCGCCGCCGGUAUGGUUCGUUUCAUGCCAUGCCAUGCCAAUCAGUGAUGGAGUAGUGAUUCAUAACCAACACCAACACCACCACCGGCAGUCAAGCGGUUGUUAGCUCAGAAUUUAUGGAUGAAGAAACCUGGUCUUGCAGCCAAUGGGAGUGUCCUGCAGCAGCUACCUAGCCCUUAAUUAAUAAAUGCUCUAAAUGGAAUGAAUAAAAAAAAUUGCAUGCUGGCCACCUAAACCUCAUGCCUGCAGGAGCCUGCCUUGUGAAUGUGAUGAUGCCUCUCAACUUCAGCAGCAACAGGUACGUUUAUGAAUGUGAUGCCUCAUCAGCCUGGACCUACUGUAACUCAAUCUCUAGGAAUCAUUUUCUCUUUUUUUUUCUUCUCUUCUUUUCAUUUUCUGCUUUACUUUUCUUGCUCCAAAAGAAGACCCACUCUUUAUGUCUGCACCAGCAUCACAUCGUACGUUAGAUAUUUGUUUACUUUGUGUGUAGGCCCUGUUAAAAGCAAAUCUCAUUCAUUCGAUUGUACCUAGUGCUUUCUCCUAUUUCCAUUUCAAUUUGAGCA